rnacentral:piRNA from 1 species
UGCCUGUGUAGAUAGUGACAACCACAUC